AGGCGUCAAAGUAAAAUGUGUACGGCCAAUUUUUAAUCCUAAAGGAUUUAUUGUUGGAUCAGUUGAUGGGCGAGUUCUUCUGGAGUACAUCUGCAGAUCCAGCUCAGACGAGGGAUAUGCAUUUAGAUGUCAUCCAAAGAGUAAAGAUGGGAAACGUCAUCUUGUAACAGUUAAUGACAUUGCGUUUGACCCAUCCAUUAUUGGUUCAUUUGUCACUGGUGACAAUGACGGCUAUGUCACCUUGUGGGAUG